rnacentral:lncRNA from 1 species
AGACAUCAACCAGCAGUGUCAGUACAUCCUUCAAGGACUUCGACUUGUUCAAUCCCAUUACCUCCAGCUUAACAACUCCUUCCUCCCUCCACUCGACUCUGCUGAAUCAUGCUGGCGCAAUUACCAGGACCUCAUCGAUGAAUUCCUUCCCAAUUUCGAUAUCCGCUCUUCUUGCGGCUUCAACACUAGCUGGAUCUCCCAGGGCUGUAUGAACAUCUCUACCAGGUCCCAGUUCGAGGCCAUCGUCCCUGUCUCUGCUCUUAAUGAUGCUGCUUCCAACUGUAACCAGUCCCUUGAGAAUAAUUCUCCGUGCGCUGCUUGUACUACCAGCUUGUCCACGCUGCAAGCGAGUUACUUGACGGGAACUUCCAUCGGGAAUGUUUCGGAUUGCCUGGCAUAUCCCUCCAUUUAUGCCGCGGCUUUUACUAAUAGGUAUGGACCUACUGAUAAGGGCACAGCCAAGUGUCUGUUUUUACUUGAUUUUUUUCCCAAGAAAUCUAGCAAGAAAAGGAGCAAAGUCUUGAUCUUGGGUGUUUUAUUAGGGGGUGGUGUUGGGUUGGUUGUAUUGAUUGGUUUGUGGUGGAUCUUUCACAAGAGGAAAAAGAGGGCUGACAAAUUGGGGAGAGUACUUGAGACAGAGUUGGGUUCUGGGUUGGAGUCCAUUAGUCAAAGUACUUCUUUGGUUAAAUAUACAUUUGAUGAGAUUAGGAAGGCAACUAGAAACUUUUCUAGAGAUAACAUUAUCGGGAGAGGAGGUUAUGGGAAUGUGUAUAAAGGUGAAUUGCCAGAUGGUUCUCUAGUUGCUUUUAAAAGAUUCAAGAAUUGCUCGGCUGCAGGCGAUUCUUCUUUUGCUCAUGAAGUUGAGGUUAUUGCGAGUGUCAGGCAUGUCAAUCUUGUUGCUUUGAGAGGAUAUUGUACUGCUACGAGUCCUUUUGAGGGUCACCAGAGGAUAAUCGUGUGUGAUUUGAUAAAGAAUGGCACUUUGCAUGACCAUUUAUUUGGGUCGAGUGCGGAAAAGCUUAGCUGGCCUCUCCGGCAAAAGAUUGCUUUAGGGACUGCUAGAGGAUUGGCUUAUUUGCACUAUGGAGCUCAGCCGUCAAUUAUUCAUAGGGAUAUUAAAGCUAGCAAUAUACUUCUGGAUGAGAGUUUUGAGCCCAAGGUUGCGGACUUUGGACUAGCAAAGUUUACUCCAGAAGGAAUGACACAUUUGAGCACCAGGGUAGCUGGGACUAUGGGAUAUGUUGCUCCUGAGUAUGCUUUGUACGGGCAACUAACAGAGAGAAGCGACGUGUUUAGCUUUGGUGUUGUGCUUCUCGAGCUUUUGAGUGGGAAGAAGGCACUUAUGGUGGAUCAUGAGGGACAGCCAUCUAUUGUGACUGAUUGGGCAUGGUCAUUAGUUAGAGAAGGGAGAACUUUAGAUGUUAUCGAAGAUGGCAUGCCGGAGUCAGGGUCACAAGAAAUUUUGGAAAAGUAUGUUCUGGUGGCAGUUCUUUGUUCUCAUCCACAGCUAUAUGCUAGGCCAACAAUGGAUCAAGUCGUGAAAAUGUUGGAAACAGAUCUCUCAAUUCCCUCCAUUCCAGAAAGGCCAAUUUCUCUUGUAGCUGAGAUGGACGAUAUUGAGAGAACUGCGAGCAGAAGCGCCUCUGGUCAGCUCUCUAGUCCAACUGGCUACCAGCAUUUCACAUUCGAGAAUGAUCGCCCUUCUAUCCGCAAGGAAGAAGGGUCAAGUUUUUCUCUUGUAGCUGAGAUGGAUGAUAUUGAGAGAACUGCGAGCAGAAGCGCCUCUGGUCAGCUCUCUAGUCCAGCUGGCUAUCAGCAGAAUGAUCGCCCUUCUAUCCGCAAGGAAGAAGGGUCAAGCUCAGACUCUAGAGCGAUAGAAUAGCUGUGACAUUAAUGGUUUGAUUGGCAUGCCCGACUUCAUUUAUUUGUUGAUUUAGAAUGCAUAUCCUGGAUUUGGAACCACUCCUCUCAUUGUAAAGAUAAAUAGAUCACAAGGAAAAGUUAAUUCUUUUAGUUUAAAUGAAGAUGUGUGUCAUUGGAUUAACAAUUAAAGAUGCAUAAUCUGACCUUCAGCAUCACGUAAAGCUUCAUGCCUUGCAAGUGCUAGAGGUAAUAGUGUUACUGUAUAGCAUAAUCAAGUUGCCAUUUUCAAUUUUUCGUCCGAUUGAAGAAUUUAUCGUUUUUUGUUUGCUCAUUUACUUUAUCGCUGAGUAGACAGACUGAAUAGAGAUUAUAGCGAGUAGCCAGUAUCUAAACAUUGGUCUUUUGAGUCAACCCCUCCUUGGGGAGGCUAUCGAAGGGUUGGUGUGCUUCCUUGCCAGUUUCCAAACCUUCAAGGCAUGGCAGAAGCUCGCAGUGCGUUUGGACUGUUAUGGAGAGAAGGCUUAGUUUGUUUACCGAAAAUAGCACGGUGUUAGUGAUGUUUGCAAUGUAAAUCAUAUCUAGAGAUGAGAAGGCUGAGCUGUAGGUCGCAUAAUAUGCACUCGGAAAGUUUAUGGUGGCGUCUGGACACAUUUGUGCGCUAGAUUUCACAGAAAAUGGAGGUAUGGAUUGAUCGAUUCAUUGGAUCAUAGGUCGGGACUGACAAUGCUUUGUAUGAUCAAAGAACAUAUACGAUUUCUGAUCUCUGUUUCAUGAUUGUGUUUCUUGACUCUGAACUAGGAAGAAAAUCCACAGAAUGUAUACGAGGAACUGAUCCAGGCUUCAAGUGCCAGUUUGUACGACGAACUCUCUCUGGGUUUGCUUGCAAUGCUGUUUGCAUAUUGCGAUAAGGCAGAGCAAAUCCUUACAGGGCAUGUUGCUAGACAAGAACAGAGAUUCUUUCAUCCACUACGAGAAGCCUCAAAGCUUAAAAACAAGCCGAAGCUGGCAACCCAGUUUCUCGGACAAUCAUUCCCUGUAGCCUUUGCUAAACAUUCCAGGUAGGCAAGGAAGAGAACUGCGAUUGAAGCUGCUCGGUGACUGUUUGGUCCCGCAGCCACACUACCUAGUAUUUGGUUAAAGAAAAAGCAGAUGUUUUGCUGGCAGGGCCCAUUGAUAUUUGAGGCUGCACUGCAGGUUUUGAGAAGCAGCAAAAUACUGCUUCUCAUGCAGCUAACCCAACGUUAACAAUGGAGUCAUGCUCCACUACGCACUGUUUACUAAGUGAACAGUUUUUUUUUUGAAAAACUAGUGCGCAAAGUUUUUUUUUUUCCUGAAAAACUAGUACAGUUAAUUAAUUGCACUCGUAUUGUUCACGUGAAAUAUAUAUAUAUAUAUAUAUAUAUAUAUAAAAAAUUAGUUUAACGUAAAUUAAAUUUAUUCGUACUGUAAUCUCAAUUUUAUUCAUGAUAAUAUUUUACUUAAUUUUAUUGCACGCAUGAUAAAUCAUGAUAACUGUAGUUAUUGUCGAAUGAAUUUUGUACAUAAUGAAAUUGUUGAUUUUUUUUUUAAAUUGUGUUUUACUCGAAAAACUAGUACUUAAUAUUAUUUAAUAACACUACAUAAAUUAGAAGGAUAUCGCAUAAUGACAUAAUAUUUGUGAAAUUUGAUCCCUAUUCCAAUUAUGUUAUUGCAUUAAAAAUCAUUAGUAUUAAUAUAUAUAUAUAUUUUAAUUAUUUUAUAACCUCAAUUUGAAAAAUAUUUUUUUAACCAAACACAUUAAACAACUUUUUCUUCGACCUCAAUUUCAACCACAGUUUUAACCAAACACCUAUUUUUUCAAACCAAUCUCAACUAAAAGUACUUUUUAUAAAACAACUUUUUUCAAAUCACUAACAUAAAAGCUACCGCAAUACCAAACACAAAUCACCAGCAAAAAAAAGAUAUUAUUUUCAAAUUAUUUUUAAAUCUGAAUGCUUAUAUCAACACUGAUUAAGAAUUUAAAUUUGAUAUGCUUUAAGAAAAUAAAAGGUAUCAUAUAUCUUAGAAAUUUAUAAUACUUUCUUAGUUUAAUUCUAGGAUAUAAAUUCUCUAAAUUCAAUUUCCAUUAACAAGAAAUUCUAACAUUGAUAACAAGUUCAUAAAAUGCUAUAUAAAUCAUAUAAUUAAAUGACCGGUUUUCUUUUUUGAAAAUCUAAAAAAUAAGAAAUUAUUUAUUUAAAAAAGAUUUGGAAGAACCGACUACUGACUUUCAAAGUUGAUAGCAGAGGCUGUUUUUAUUUUUUAAUUUUUUUUUUAAAAUCAGAGAUAUUUUAAAAAAUAGAAAGACACCAUGUGGCCGUUAAUUAUGAUCUUAACCUCUCCUUCCUGGAAUCUGCCAGGCAAGCGUCUAUCAUCUGUCUCCUACUUUCAACUGUCAUACUGGCUGCUGUGAAAGGUAUAAGAAGAUUAUAAUUUAGAUAAAGCUAAACUUUUGAUUAAUCAAGUCCAGAUAAUUCAUCAAUUUCUCCACCAACCCCUCCUCUCUUCUCCAUGGUAGAACUCCAUCCCUAGCAGCGUUGCCACCUCCCUUCCCAAAUGUUCAAUCUCCUUCUCCUCACCAUCACAACAUUCCUCAUCACUCUAUCCCUCGUUCAAUCUCAAGCUCAAAACAACACAGCACGAUGCCCAUUAGACUUCAACGUCCUCCGCAACCUGACAUCUGCCGGCUCUGGACGCCCCCCCAAUUCAGACAUCAACCAGCAGUGUCGGUACAUCCGUCAAGGACUUCGACUUGUUCAAUCCCAUUACCUCCAAGUUAACAACUCCUUCCUCCCUCCACUCGACUCUGCUGAAACAUGCUGGCGCACUUACCAGGACCUCAUCGAUGAAUUCCUUCCCAAUUUCGAUAUCCGCUCUUCUUGCGGCUUCAACACUAGCUGGAUCUCCCAGGGCUGUAUGGACAUCUCUACCAGGUCCCAGUUCGAGGCCAUCGUCCCUGUCUCUGC